GUCAAAAAGAAGGUUGAAGAAGGAAAAGCCACCCAUUACAUGUGUAACUGUCUCAUGACAGUUACCAAGUUUCGUAAUUGUUUAUUUUGGCCUCCUGGAAUAAGUUUUUAUAACUUGAGGCACAUCAAAAUUAAACAAGCUCUGCGCAGUAAAAUGAAGCAGAAAGCACUCAAAGAAUGUGAUCGAUAUACUACAAAAUACGCUGAGUGUGCCUCAGGAAGAACAAUAUCUGUUGUUUGGCAGUGUCGCAAA
rnacentral:misc_RNA from 1 species